rnacentral:rRNA from 1 species
GACGAACGCUGGCGGCGUGCUUAACACAUGCAAGUCGAACGGAAAUGCCCUGCUUUUGUGGGGUGCUCGAGUGGCGAACGGGUGAGUAACACGUGAGUAACCUGCCCUUGACUUUGGGAUAACUUCAUGAAACUGGGGCUAAUACCGGAUAGGAGCUCCUGCUGCAUGGUGGGGGUUGGAAAGUUUCGGCGGUUGGGGAUGGACUCGCGGCUUAUCAGCUUGUUGGUGGGGUAGUGGCUUACCAAGGCUUUGACGGGUAGCCGGCCUGAGAGGGUGACCGGCCACAUUGGGACUGAGAUACGGCCCAGACUCCUACGGGAGGCAGCAGUGGGGAAUAUUGCACAAUGGGCGGAAGCCUGAUGCAGCAACGCCGCGUGCGGGAUGACGGCCUUCGGGUUGUAAACCGCUUUCGCCUGUGACGAAGCGUGAGUGACGGUAAUGGGUAAAGAAGCACCGGCUAACUACGUG